UUUUGCACUACUUUUUCUAGUAUCUUGAGAUAGGAACUUAACUAAUUUUUUCCUUCUUUUCUAUCUAGUCAUUUUCUUCUCCCUGGUCUCCCUACUGCUAUCUUUAGACAUAAGCUCAAUGAAGUUCGCAAGGAGAUUUCUUUUGUUGCUAUAAAUACCACAUUUUCUCCACUGACCUUUCAUUUUUUCUUUGUACCUCUUGAAGGCUCACUUUCACACUGCCCUCGAGCUACAGCUUGCUACCCCUCAACAGAGAGAGCAUGGUGUGCCCCCAACUGGAAAAACAGACCUGCCUUCCUCUUUAGACCUUUGUCCUCCUCUCAAUAAGAGUCUUAACUAUGUAUCAGUAUGAAGUGUGAGUGAGUAAAGUGAGGCCCCAACUUUGGGAUGGUCAUUACUGAAAAAGAAAAACCUCACAUGAUGACAAAGUCUUUUUAACACUACAUGAAUGUGACUAAAUCAGCUACUGAACCAAAGUUCACAGGAGCAAAAUCAAAAAGAACAAGGAGAAUCAAGCAAGUUAAUCUGGUAAAAAGUCACAGACGGCUAGGGACAGUGGCUCAUGACUGUAAUCCUAGCACUUUGGGAGGCCAAGGCAGGAGGAUUGCUUGGGCCCAGGAGUUCAAGACCAGCAUGGGCAACAUGAGACCUUGUCUUUACAAAAAAAAAAAAAAAAAAAAUCAGAAUAUUAGCCAGGCAUGGUGUAAAAAAAAAAUCAAAAUAUUAGCCAGGCGUGGUG
rnacentral:lncRNA from 1 species